GGGGCCGUAGCUCAGAUGGUAGAGCGCCUCGUUCGCAAUGAGGAGGUCUGGGGUUCGAUUCCCCACGGCUCCACCA
rnacentral:tRNA from 1 species